GUAGGGAAAUGUACUGUUAACCUGUCCAAUGUCCAAAGCAGGAUUGAUGCUUUUCCCAACAUCCAUCACGAUGUCCGUCCGGAUGUUCUGCAACAAACAAACAGUUCACUUUGCUCGUAAAGGACAAGUUUGUCUAAUUACCAUCAAACAACAUUUACGAGAGGUUAUAAAAGUUCCUUAUUUUAAAGGUUAAUGAGAAAGAAGCCAAAUAAAUCGGUUUUGUCCCAGUUCUCAUCCCUUAACCUUUCCCCCUGUUUUGUAGUCGCCUUCCUCUCUUGUGUUUAUCAUCAGAAGCAAAGACAUUGUAUAAGAGAGCAGCAACAACACUGUGAAAGUACAUCUAUAAUUUGUAAAGAGUAAAAGUACUUUGUGAUCCCCGGUGAGACAGUCGAUCUCCACUUCAGAGCAGCAGGCGCCGUAGGUGAAGUAGUAGUACGCAUGACCUUCACCCUUCUCCCAGUCCACAUCGGUGUUUUGGGGAUUUCUUUCCAUCAGUGGCUGCAGGCGCCUCAUCAGCUUCUCACAAGCAUCCUGAGAGGAGAAAUCAAUCAAUCAAUCAAUUAUUAGUCACGCUUUAUUUAUAAAGCACCUUUCAUACAAGUCGAAUGAGAAACUGCUUCAUAACUGACUGACAAACACACAGGAUGAAAAAGGCAGAUGAACCUUGACAGCCAUGCCCACGGCGUCGGUACCGAAGGAAGCAGCUGACGGUGCUGCGUUGGGGACGUUUCCUGUACUCGUCUCCUUGAUGAAGAUGGAGGACAUGGGGACCUCCAGGACUCGGCUCGCUAUCUGCACCGAGCCGUCUUUGUAGAUGUUCACCAGCGCUGCACCCUGGACAAAGCAAAUGAUCAGCAUGUUCCUUAAAUGAUCAAUCACAAGACAAGUUUCAUGUGCAUAAAGCUCCACUUUAACUGGGUAUCCAGCUCUGUAAAAGUGGUUUGUUUGUAAAUACUCCUUUACAACUCCUUUAUCUCUAUGAAUAAGCUAAAUAUUGAUGUCUGGGUUAUGAAUAUGGCACAUUGAAUGAGAAUUUAUACCUACAGACUAAA